rnacentral:rRNA from 1 species
UACGGGAGGCAGCAGUGGGGAAUAUUGCACAAUGGGCGAAAGCCUGAUGCAGCUAUGCCGCGUGUAUGAAGAAGGCCUUAGGGUUGUAAAGUACUUUCAUCGGGGAGGAAAAAACAAAACUAAUAAUUUUAUUUCUUGACGUUACCCGAAAAAGAAGCACCGGCUAACUCCGUGCCAGCAGCCGCGGUAAUACGGGAGGGUGCUAGCGUUAAUCAGAAUUACUGGGCGUAAAGAGCACGUAGGUGGUUUUUUUAAAGUCAGAUGUGAAAUCCCUGGGCUUUAACCUAGGAACUGCAUUUUGAAACUGAAAUACUAGAGUAUCGUAGAGGGAGGUAGAAUUCUAGGUGUAGCGGUGAAAUGCGUAGAUAUCUGGAGGAAUACCUGUGGCGAAAGCGGCCUCCUAAACGAAUACUGACACUGAGGGUGCGAAAGCGUGGGGAGCAAACAGGGAUUAGAUACC